rnacentral:sRNA from 1 species
GCCGGGUGUGGUGGCGAACACCUAUAAUCCCAGCAGCUUGGGAGGCUGAGGCAGGAGGAUCACAAGUACAAAGCCAGCCUCAGCAAUUUAGUGAGGUCCUAAGCACUUAGUGAGACCCUGUCUCUA